rnacentral:rRNA from 1 species
UACGUAGGGUCCGAGCGUUGUCCGGAAUUACUGGGCGUAAAGAGCUCGUAGGUGGUUUGUCGCGUUGUUCGUGAAAACUCACAGCUCAACUGUGGGCGUGCGGGCGAUACGGGCAGACUUGAGUACUGCAGGGGAGACUGGAAUUCCUGGUGUAGCGGUGGAAUGCGCAGAUAUCAGGAGGAACACCGGUGGCGAAGGCGGGUCUCUGGGCCGAUACUGACGCUGAGACGCGAAAGCGUGGGGAGCGAACAGG